rnacentral:tRNA from 1 species
UCCCCGGUGGUCCAGCAGUUAGGACUCUGUGCUUCCACUACAGGGGCAUGGGUUCAAUCCCUAGUCAGGGAC